UUUAAAUGUAAAUUAUAAUUCUAAAUAAGUAUUAGUUAUGUUCUUAAAAGUUAAAGAUUUUGGCGGUAUUUUAGUCUCUUCAGAGGAACCUGUUCUAUAAUCGAUAAUCCACGAUUAAUUUUACUUAUUUUAAUAAUUUGUAUAUCGUCGUAGUUUGAAUAUUUUAAAAGAAUUUGAAUAUUCAAAAUUUUUUAUUAAAAAAAGAAAUCAGAUCAAGGUGCAGUUUAUAAAUAAGGAGAAAUGGGUUACAAUAAUUUUAAUUAGAUGGUAUAAGAAUUGAAAUUUUUUAUUAAAGUGGAUUUGAAAGUAAUAUAAUUAAUUUAAAUUAUAUGAUUUGAGCUCUAAAAUAUGC
rnacentral:rRNA from 1 species